GACGGAGGGUCCUAGCGUUGUUCGGAAUGACUGGGCGUAAAGGGUACGUAGGCGGUUUGGUCAGUUAGAUGUGAAAGCCCAGGGCUCAACCUUGGAACAGCAUUUAAUACUGCCAGACUUGAGUUCGGAAGAGGAAAGCGGAAUUCCUAGUGUAGAGGUGAAAUUCGUAGAUAUUAGGAGGAACAUCAGAGGCGAAGGCGGCUUUCUGGUCCGAAACUGACGCUGAGGUACGAAAGCGUGGGGAGCAAACAGG
rnacentral:rRNA from 1 species